rnacentral:rRNA from 1 species
GGGUUGCCUAGUAACGGCGAGUGAAGCGGCAACAGCUCAAAUUUGAAAUCUGGCUUUCGGGCCCGAGUUGUAAUUUGUAGAGGAUGAUUUUGAUGCGGUGCCUUCCGAGUUCCCUGGAACGGGACGCCAUAGAGGGUGAGAGCCCCGUCUGGUUGGAUGCCAAAUCUCUGUAAAUCUCCUUCGACGAGUCGAGUAGUUUGGGAAUGCUGCUCUAAAUGGGAGGUAUAUGUCUUCUAAAGCUAAAUACCGGCCAGAGACCGAUAGCGCACAAGUAGAGUGAUCGAAAGAUGAAAAGCACUUUGAAAAGAGAGUUAAAAAGUACGUGAAAUUGUUGAAAGGGAAGCGUUUAUGACCAGACUUGGGCUUGGUUAAUCAUCUGGGGUUCUCUCCAGUGCACUUUUCCAGUCCAGGCCAGCAUCAGUUUUCGCCGGGGGAUAAAGGCUUCGGGAAUGUGGCUCCCCUCGGGGAGUGUUAUAGCCCGUUGUGUAAUACCCUGGUGGGGACUGAGGUUCGCGCUUCUGCAAGGAUGCUGGCGUAAUGGUCAUCAACGACCCGUCUUGAAACACGGACCAAGGAGUCGUCUUCGUAUGCGAGUGUUCGGGUGUCAAACCCCUACGCGUAAUGAAAGUGAACGCAGGUGAGAGCUUCGGCGCAUCAUCGACCGAUCCUGAUGUUCUCGGAUGGAUUUGAGUAAGAGCAUACGGGGCCGGACCCGAAAGAAGGUGAACUAUGCCUG